rnacentral:rRNA from 1 species
GAUGAACGCUGGCGGCGUGCCUAAUACAUGCAAGUCGAGCGACCAGACGAGGAGCUUGCUCCUCUGACGUUAGCGGCGGACGGGUGGGUAACACGUGGAUCACCUACCUCUAAGACUGGGAUAACUUCGGGAGACCGGAGCUAAUACCGGAUAAUAUAUUCAACCGCUUGGUUCAAUAGUGCAUGACGCUUUUCCUGUCACUUUUAGAUGGAUCCGCGCCGCAUUAGCUAGUUGGUAAGGUAACGGCUUACCAAGGCGACGAUGCGUAGCCGACCUGAGAGGGUGAUCGGCCACACUGGAACGGAGACACGGUCCAGACUCCUACGGGAGGCAGCAGUAGGGAAUCUUCCGCAAUGGGCGAAAGCCUGACGGAGCAACGCCGCGUGAGUGAUGAAGGUCUUCGGAUCGUAAAACUCUGUUAUUAGGGAAGAACAAAUGUGUAAGUAACUAUGCACGUCUUGACGGUACCUAAUCAGAAAGCCACGGCUAACUACGUG